UUUGCUUUUUGCAUCCCAUUAAGACUAGAAGGUUUUUUAUUAUAACCCAGAAACUAUGAGAUAUAUUGGUGAACAAAGAAAUAUUAAAUACAUUGGAGUCCUCAAGUUAAACAACAAAAUCUGAUUUUACACAAGGAAGGGUAAAUGGGGAAAGAGGGAAAGCUUCUGUUGUGACUAAAAGCUUCCUAUUCAUAAAUCACCACACACUUUCAUAUAAGGAUUGUUCCCACAAUGUUUUUUGUCUAUCAAGACUUUUUUUUUUGAGGCUGAAGCAGUGCCACUUAUGGGAAGCACAUAGUGCACUUCUAUAAACGACCUCUCUGUAUAAAAGUCUUCUCUUUGUAUAAAAGUCAUGACAAACCAUUUUGGUUGACCAAAAUAACUUUUCUGCACCUUAACUGUAAGCUGGAAUGCCAGAAGUUCAGAGUUAAGGAAACAGGUGCAUAAGAAAGAUUAAUGCAUUGGUGUUAAUUCUCUACAAGAAUACCCAGCAGAUAAGGGUGCAUGAGAGGAGAUUCUGCUGUUCUUCCUGGCUCUUCCUGUUGCUCUUUCCUCUGUGCUUCUUCCAUCUUUCCACAGAUGUGGUCACCACUGCUUAGCAACCAAGGGGACAUGAUGACACAGAGGAAAAUCCUCCAUCUAGAGCUCACCCUGCUCCACCUACACAGCAGCAAACUACAUUUCACAGUAAAUUAGGAAGAAUACGUAUUCUUUGUUACGGCAGAGGUACCAAGUGGGACCGCACAGAAUUUUCUUUUCACUUGGUGGUGCACAGGAGAGAACUUAACAAGCUGGAGGAGAACUUGUUGGUAAAACAGCUCCCCAAAUGCUAAUGCCAGUGCUCCAGCCCUCCUCCAGGGAGAGCCCAGGCAGCUUAGAGAGACCCAAGUCCGGGCAAUACCCCUGAACCCGCCGGGGCAAGGCCCCACUCACCUCUCCCAUGCCACAGUAGAACAAGAUGAGGCAAAGUGGAUGGAAAAACGUAUUUUGCAGAAGAAUGUAUUUUGUUUAAACCUUUUGUUUGGGUAAGCAAUUCAUUUGCACACUAAUAUCUAAACAAUUAUGU